AAGACCUGCAGCCAUUAUGAGUGUGCAUUUCUAGGUGAAUAUUUUCAACCCAUCUAUGUCUACAACCCUGGUGAGAAAAACCAGAAGCUUGAAGACCAUAGUAAGAAAAACCGGAAGCUUGAAGACCAUGGUGAGAAAAAACAGAAGCUUGAAGACUAUGAUGUGAAAAUCCUUGAACCCACCCAAAUACCUGGAAUGAAAAUUCCAGAACCUUUUCCACUACCUGAAGAUAAAAGUCAAGGAAAUAUGAACAAUCCUACUCCAGGUCCAGUUCCUGUUCCAGGUC
rnacentral:sRNA from 1 species